rnacentral:rRNA from 1 species
GAUGAACGCUGGCGGCGUGCCUAAUACAUGCAAGUAGAACGCAGUUGCGAACGGGUGAGUAACGUGUAGGUAACUGCCUCAUAGCGGGGGAUAACUAUUGGAAACGAUAGCCAAUACCGCAUACUGUGAGACGGACCUGCGUUGUAUUGGCUAGUUGGUGAGGUAAACGCUCACCAAGGCGACGAUACAUAGCCGACCUGGGAGGGUGGUCGGCCACACUGGGACUGGAACACGGCCCAGACUCCUACGGGGGGCAGCAGGAGGGAAACUUCGGAAAAGGGCGGAAGUCUGGCCGAGCACCGGCGCGGGAGUGGAGGAAGUUUUCGGAUCGUAAAGGUCUGUUGUUAGAGGAGCGGUAACUAACCAAAAAGGAACGGCUAACUACGUGCCAGCAGCCGCGGUAAUAC